GGUGUCUCGCAGAGGUUCAAAGGAGCAAACUGCAUUCUGAAGAGCUGCGUGCCAUGGCAGGCUUUCCACACAAGUGGCUGAGGACUUGAGAUGAGACCAGAGAGUGACAAGGAGCAGCACGUGCAGGGAUGGUUUCCAAGCGCUGCGGUCGCUUUCUCUUCUGUUCAUCAGGUGCCACAGGCAAGGUGAAGAGGUGCCUGGAGCCCCAUGUCAUCUAGCCUGCAUGUGCCUUGAGGAUGAAGCCUGCUUUCCAGCAGUCCCUAAAGCUAAGUUUGGCCCGAAAUGCCCCGUCUGUGUCUUGGGUGGGGUUGUACCUUGGUGUCUUGUGUGAUAUGUGCAUGGGGAUGGCUUUUAAAUCAGUGCAGCAGAGGAACAGAAUCCAGUAACAACUGUGUGAAGAGGCCCUGGGUUCAUCCUUUUCAGCCUAGUGUGUGCCAGGCAGGGCAGUUCCAGCAUGUGUUCUAUGGUGUAUGUUUGUUUCUGUGUACUAUAGUAUCCAUUUAUCAGGUCUUGUUCCCAUAGUUCUUGGCUUUUGCAGUGCUUGCUGAGCACCAUAUCAUGGGUCUUAAAUGUAUUGUCUGGUUGGCACGGGACUAGUAAUGAAGUGUUUCUUGUCUUUCAUUGGGACUUUAAAAGGCUGAUCUCUCUCCAGAGCUUGAUGUAGUCUACAUUUCUUGAUGGCGGCCAUCAUGGCCCUCAGUCUUGGGCUUGUGUAUGUUCACGUACGGUUUGGGAGCCUGGCUCCAUGUGGUUUGGGGUCCCAGUUCUGUGGUUUUGGACUAAUGUUUCUGGUUUGGGGGGGGCGGAUGUGGGUGGCUCUCUGCAUGGUGCUGCCCCGGCCUGCCCCGCCGCUGUGUGGUACCGCCCCGGCCGAGUUGGAGCAUGUGAGCAGCUGAAGAAAAAGAGCUAGCGAAAGAGAGGUAUUGCAGCAGGUAGGCUGUGCCUGUGAGGUGCCUGAGGAUCUGCCUUUUCUUUUUUUUUUUUUCUUUUGUGGGUGCUUCCUGCAGUCUUGGAGAGGUGAAUUCCCACAUCAUGGAGUGCUGAGAAAAGGCAAGAGGGUCGUCAGCCCAGUCAGUGUCCCUAAGCAAUGACCCCUAAGGUGGUGUGGGUGAUACUGGCUGUACUGUUGGAGCUUGGACUCAGAGAGGAAUGGAUGAUGAUAAGCCUGGCAAUGGGCUAAGAUGUCUCUCAGUGGCUGUGCAUUUCUUGAGGUGGAGGGAAUUUACCAUCCAGCAAUCUGAGAGCUAAUAGAGGGUAAACCUUAGGAGGAACCGGUCACAGGAAAGAGCUCCUUCUGGAACUGUCAAGCACUCGCUGAAACACAGUGUACAACACGGGACUUCACGACCAGAGCUGCUUUUGGU